UGUUCUACCACUCAUCAGAGCUGCAUCUCAAGUAAGAAAUUAAUGUAGUCAUUCAAACUAUGCUAACUGUGAGUAAAAAAUGGUUAUCUGACUCUUGAUAAGAUUUAGAUGCUCCACAUGGAGCAAUAUCAUGAGCCCAACUAAUUAAUCUAUAGCAGCAGAUUUUCCAAUUUUCAAGAGAAGAGAAAUGGUUUCAACUUGGAAUACUGAGAGUGGGAGAGUCUACCACCUCCUCUGAUCAAUGAGUAGGAGAAGCUGGGAAGGUAUGGAGCAAAGGAGAACAACUAAUACAUGCUGAGAAGCCACUGUUUGCCCAGCACACUGCUAUGCCCUUUACAACUCGAUCCCUGCCACAACCCCAUGAAAACUUCAGUCCAAGACAGCUUUAGGAACAAAUGAAUCAUUUGAAAGGCCUCUACUGGGCCAUGCUCCUCAUAUUUCUGCAAGACCUAACUAGCUGACGAUGCCCAGAGCAUGUGUCAACUAAGAACUGGCUCGGCAGAAUGUUUCUGGGCUUAUUUACAGUAUGAAGUUCAUUUUUGAUUCAUGAGCUGUUUCUGAGUAUGGUGUCCUCCGGGCUGGAGUUACCUCUGGCACCCCGGGAUCAUUGCUCCUUCUUUCAUCACUUGGGCUCUCUGGAAACUUCAUUCUUCCAAAUGAAGCAAUUAGUUCAGGUCUAUUAAAAGAAAUUUCUGAAACCAGUGAUUGCAAAACCCAUUAGCUGCACAAAAUUUAGAAAAAGACUUUCUUUCCAUUAACUAGCCAGAAUUCAAGUAGUAGAGGCAAAAAAUAAUAACAAGCAAAUGACAAUAACCAAACCCCCCCAGUGAACUAUUUUCUGUAGUCUACAACUUUUAGUAAUCUAAAAGGAAUCAGCAACCCCAACAUUCAGAUUACUAGCAGUGUGCUAUGUCCAAAUCUAUCCUAGGUGCAGAUGAGGUCCUCAGCUGCAACUAGGAGCAGGGGCAAAAUAAUAUCAAAUAAUGUAAUUUGUUGUUUUCACCUGACACUCAUAUUCACCAUGUCACAAGGGAAAAUUUAAAAAAAAAAGGAUAUUAACUUAGACCCUUCUAUGAUCUGGGCAUUGUACCAGGGAAAUUCAUACAUUUAUGUUAUCCUUAAAUUCUAAUAACAUCCAUAUAAAGGGGAAAACUAUGACCCUCAUUUGUAGGGACAUAGAUGUUCACCAUAAUCUUAGAAAUAACUUAUUCCAGUGUGAGUUCAAUCUUUUGAAGCUUUGUUGAUCUCAUCUGAGUGAAAGAACCUUGUAGUCAUUAGGUUUACCUGGGUCUCUAAAAGAGACAAAUGGAGAUACAUAUGAUUUUCAUUCUGGAUCAUGAAAUGGCCAUAUGUGUUUAUACCUCCCAAACACACACACACAAAGCUUAUUUUUUAGAAACCUCAUACAACAAAACUAACAGAGACCAGGGAGAUUUCAACAAACUUGUAGAAUUCAGAAGAAAGGAUAUUAGUUGAUACAGUAGAGGGGAGAAAGACAGUUGGCCACAGAUACCCAUCUGCCUCAACUCUAAAUGAAAUAUAAAUCCAGGGACUUACUAACCAUAAGCAAAAUAACUGGAGCAUUCUUCUCCAGUGGAAUAGAAGAAACUGGGAGAGGACAAGGGUAGCCACUAGGAGCACUGGCAACCCAGGGCAAAAUCCUCCUCAUUAAUUACUGGGGUCUUUCAAUCUUUAGGCUUUCAGCUUGGAAAAAGGCUGUCAAUGGACACACCCUUAGGUAGGCACAGAGCUUCUGGAAGCCUGCUUAUUGUUGUUUCAUAUAUCUGGAGAGACAGUUAAAACUCACCAGAUAUUGGAGAAAAGCUGACAACAAAAAAGAGAAAUCUCAAGACAGAUGAACACAGCAGCUGUCCCCAGAAGGAAGAGAGAACUUGGGGAAUAGAAGAGAACUUACAGAACAAAACUAAUUUAGUAUGCUUGGAAAUACCCAAGAAUAUGUGGCAUGUAUGAAACAAGAAGAGGGUGUUGUAUUUUUAGAAAACAUAUGAAUGGAGAACAAAAAUAGAUUAUGAAAAUUUAAAAUAUGAUGUUACAAAUGAAUAUUCAGGGUAUAUGAGGUAUAAGGCCAAGUUGAGGAAAACUCCUAAAAGAUAGGACAAAAGGAAAUUAGUAAGAAGAUUAGGGCAAGCAAGUAAGUGACAUUCAAAGUCAAUCCUAGGAGAUCUGAUAUUUCAUUAACAGGAAUUCUACAAAGAGAGAACAGAUAUUAUAAAAAACAAAAUACCAAAGAGGAAUUUCCCAAGGGUGGAGGAUAUCUUUAAAUAUGAAGAGUCUACACAGUAUCCAGUAUAAUAAACACAGACAGAUACCCCUCAACACAUUAUAGUGAAAUUUUGGGACACCAAAGACCAAGAGAAUAUCUUAAAACUUUCUAGAGAGAGGACUAAGGAAAACCAAUAGCUAAAUCCUCAUAGAGCAAAAUUAAGAACUAAAUUUCUACAGUCUACAGCAACAGAAAAAUCAAUGUGAGUGUAUUAUUUUGGAUAACUAUUGAAAGACUUAAGAAAUAAAAAUAGUCAAAAGUUAAUUAUCUUUGAGGAGUAGGACUGGUAGAGACAAAGGAAGGUCGAUAGGUUGGAAUCAUAUUUAUUAAGAUGCCUCAGAAAUCUGAAAACAGAUCUAUCAUAUGAUCCAGCCAUCCCACUCCUGGGAAUAUACCCAAAGGAAAUGAAGUUGGCAUAUGAAAGAGUUAUCUGCACUCUAUGAUUUUAGCAGCUCAAUUCGCAAUAGCUAAGAUAUGGAGUCAAUCCAGAUGUCCGUCAGCUGAUGACUGGAUAGAGAAAAUGUGGUAUGCAUACAUGAUAGAAUACUACUCAGCCAUAAAAAAGAAUGAAAUCCUGUAUUUUGUGACAAAAUGGGUGCAACUAGAGGCCAUUCUGUUUGAUGAAAUAAGCCAGACCCACAAAGACAAAUAUAUGUUUUCUCUGAUCUUUUUUAGCUAAUAUACAGAGUACAAAAAACGUUGAUGUAUAUGAGUGAAAUUAGCAUAUUGUGGUUUGCUUUUUGUUCAUAAAACUUGUCUGUGCUCCUGAGUAGCAGUGGUCUAUUUUUUUUAGUACAGUGGUCUAUUUCUUGCUGUAGAACUCUUUAUUUAUAGGAGCAUUAAACCUGUGAUUUUAAAGUGAAUCGAAAGUAUGUUAUCAUAAAAAUUAAAAGAAAAUUUUAAAAAGAAAAGGAGAAGGGGGAGAUGGAGGGAAGAAAGUAUUGUUAUAUCCUUAGAAUCAUAUCUAUGUAAUUCACAAAAUCUGUUCUCUAUAUAU